rnacentral:rRNA from 1 species
UUGGAGGGCAAGUCUGGUGCCAGCAGCCGCGGUAAUUCCAGCUCCAAUAGCGUAUAUUAAAGUUGUUGCAGUUAAAAAGCUCGUAGUUGAAUUUCGGGGUUAGUAGGUUGGUCAUGCCUCUGGUAUGUACUGGUCUCACUGAUUCCUCCUUCCUGAUGAGCCGUAAUGCCAUUAAUUUGGUGUUGCGGGGAAUUUGGACUGUUACUUUGAAAAAAUUAGAGUGUUUAAAGCAAGCUAACGCUUGAAUACAUUAGCAUGGAAUAAUGAAAUAGGACGUUCGAUCCUAUUUUGUUGGUUUCUAGGAUUGACGUAAUGAUUAAUAGGGAUAGUUGGGGGCAUUAGUAUUCAAUUGUCAGAGGUGAAAUUCUUGGAUUUAUUGAAGACUAACUACUGCGAAAGCAUUUGCCAAGGAUGUUUUCAUUAAUCAAGAACGAAAGUUAGGGGAUCGAAGACGAUCAGAUACCGUCGUAGUCUUAACCAUAAACUAUGCCGACUAGGGAUCGAAUGAUGUUAAUUUUUUAAUGACUCAUUCGGCGCCUUACGGGAAAC